GACGAACGCUGGCGGCGUGCCUAAUACAUGCAAGUCGAACGAGACUUUCAUUGGUGGUAACACCUUUGUCUGUCUAGUGGCGAACGGGUGAGUAACACGUGAGAAACCUGCCCUGAAGACGGGGAUAACGGAAGUAAACUUCUGCUAAUACCCGAUACCCCCACCGGAUCACAUGGUCUGGUGAGGAAAUGGAUUCCGCUUCAGGAGGGUCUCGCGGCCUAUCAGCUUGUUGGUGGGGUAAUGGCCCACCAAGGCUUGGACGGGUAGCUGGUCUGAGAGGACGAUCAGCCACACUGGGACUGAGACACGGCCCAGACUCCUACGGGAGGCAGCAGUAAGGAAUAUUGCGCAAUGGGCAAAGCCUGACGCAGCAACGCCGCGUGCGGGAUGAAGGCCCUCGGGUUGUAAACCGCUUUCAGUAGGGAAGAAAAUGACGGUA
rnacentral:rRNA from 1 species